rnacentral:lncRNA from 1 species
UUGGAUCGAAGUCUCCCAACCAUAACUUUUAUGCGGGAGUUAAACAGUAAUAUUUUUUGGCCAACAUAGAUUUUCUUCCUAUGAAUCAUCUUAUCAUGGAAGUGAUUAGUUUUCUCUAUAAAUUCUAGAGCUUUCAUAGGCCUCUAGCCUAAGCUAUUUAAGCUGGUGUAAUUGGAGUUUUCUUUCCAUACAUGCUUUUUGCAUUUCCA